rnacentral:rRNA from 1 species
UGCUAAUAAUUCUCUAGUGGCGCACGGGUGAGUAACACGUGAGUACCUGCCCCCAAGAGUGGGAUAGCCCCGGGAAACUGGGAUUAAUACCGCAUAAAGCAAUAAAGCAGCAAUGCGCUUGGGGAUGGGCUCGCGUCCUAUUAGUUAGUUGGUGAGGUAACGGCUCACCAAGGCGAUGACGGGUAGCCGGUCUGAGAGGAUGUCCGGCCACACUGGAACUGAGACACGGUCCAGACACCUACGGGUGGCA